rnacentral:tRNA from 1 species
GCGGACGUGUCGGAGUGGCCAAACGAGAUGGGCUUAGGACCCAUUGGCUUAGUGCCUACGCAGGUUCGAAUCCUGCCGUCCGCA